rnacentral:rRNA from 1 species
GACGAACGCUGGCGGCGUGCUCAACACAUGCAAGUCGAGCGGAAAGGCCACUUCGGUGGUACUCGAGCGGCGAACGGGUGAGUAACACGUGAGUAAUCUGCCCCUGGCUUUGGGAUAGCCACCGGAAACGGUGAUUAAUACCGGAUAUGACCACUUCUCGCAUGGGUUGUGGUGGAAAGUUUUUCGGCCAGGGAUGUGCUCGCGGCCUAUCAGCUUGAUGGUGAGGUAAUGGCUCACCAUGGCUUCGACGGGUAGCCGGCCUGAGAGGGUGACCGGUCACACUGGGACUGAGACACGGCCCAGACUCCUACGGGAGGCAGCAGUGGGGAAUAUUGGACAAUGGGCGGAAGCCUGAUCCAGCAACGCCGCGUGAGGGAUGACGGCCUUCGGGUUGUAAACCUCUUUCAGCAGGGACGAAGCGCAAGUGACGGUACCUGCAGAAGAAGCACCGGCCAACUACGUGCCAGCAGCCGCAGUAAUAC